CCAAAGACAUAAUGUUUUGGUCCUAAACUUGCUAUUAUUUUUUACUAGGCCUACACAUGCAAGCAUCCACGUGCCAGUGAAAAUGCCCAUUAACAGAAUGGAGCUGGUAUCAGGCACAACUAACUCUAGCCAAUGACACCUUGCUAAGCCACGCCCCCACGGGUCUACAGCAGUGAUUAAUAUUAAAAAUAAGCGAAAGCUUGAUUUAGCCAUAGUGAUAAAGAGUCGGUAAAUUUCGUGCCAGCCACCGCGGUUAUACGAAAGACCCAAAAUAAUAGCCACCGGCGUAAAGCGUAGCUAGAAUCUACUAUAACUAAGGACAAACACCUUCUCCGCUGUAAAACGCUUAAGAAGACAAGAAUAUCUCAACCUUAUUAAACCAUUUGACACUACGAAAGCUGAGGCACAAACUGGGAUUAGAUACCCCACUAUGCUCAGCCCUAAACUUAGAUAGCAAAAUACUACCUAUCCGCCAGAGAACUACAAGCAAAAUACUUAAAACUCAAAGGACUUGGCGGCAUUCCAUAUCAACCUAGAGGAGCCCGUCCAAUAAUCGAUAAUACGCGCUCAACCCAACCAUUUUUGGCCACUCCAGCCUAUAUACCGCCGUCGUCAGCUAACCUUGUGAAAGAAAAGUAGUAAGCACAACAGCCCUCGCAAAAACGUCAGGUCAAGGUGUAGCUAAUAAAAUGGUAUGCGAUAGGCUACAUUUUCUAUUAUAGAAAAAACGGAAAAUACAAUGAAACCUUGUAAUAGAAGGAGAAUUUAGAAGUAAACUAAGAAAGGACCCUUAUUUUAACACCGCCCUGGAAUGCGCACACACCGCCCGUCACCCUCCUCGAUAAACCAGAUGAGGCAAG
rnacentral:ncRNA from 1 species